rnacentral:lncRNA from 1 species
AUGAUAAGUACCGCCGGGCUUCACAAGGUAGUAAGAUGUUUUAUUCAGACCUUUAUCCUGAUUGGAGUUCCGCACGUGUAGGUAACACGACAGAAUUCCCCGACAGCUACAGUGUAGGCAUGUGUAGGCUUAAGGAGGAAUGUAGGCAGGUGCACCAGCAACUCACACACACACUCAUUAUCCAGCUGGGUCAACCAUCUACAACAGUUAUCUUCUGCAGGUGAGGGUGAGGGUUCAUGGUGCCCCCCAUGCCUGUGCCUAUUAUGACCAUGUCUAUGCCCGUGCCCAUGUCCGUGCCCAUGUCCAUGCCCGUGCUCAUGUUCGUGUUCCUGUUCCUGUCCUCCGUCAUCAUCGGGGGGAGAAGAGGGGGGAGGGGAGGGCGGUGUCGGAAGGGGAGUUGGAGUGAAGGGCAGCAAUGCACAUGCAUAGUUAGCAAGCGCAAAUUGUGAAGCACAAAGAGGGCGGGGAGGUGGGAAUAGACGCUGUGCCUCCAUCUUGGGCACAAAUAGUAGGGAAGCUACAAACAAGGUUAAAGUAAGAAUGUUGACUCUCUCCAUGCCAGCUAUCUUCUGCCUUCUGCUAGUACAUGUGAGAUGUGA